GGGGCCUUAGCUCAGCUGGGAGAAGCGCCUGCUUUGCAACGCAGGAGGUCAGCGGUUCCGAUCCCGCUAGGCUCCA
rnacentral:tRNA from 1 species